ACGUAGAUUGAAUAACAUAAAAUACAAACUUGUAGUCAGAUAAACUUUAUUAUAGUUACAUAGGUUAUAGGUACCUAUGUAAAAAGAGGUUGGCAGAGUUUAUAUUAUACAAUGCAAUCAUGUUGUGGUUUCUAAAAGUAUUGUUUCUUUGUUGUUGUUUUGGUGUAAAAACUAUACUUAGCGAGUCUAAUGUGUCUAUCGACCAUAUUAAUGAACCUGAUGAAAGAGAAGUUAAUUAUAUCUUGGGAAAAAUACUACAGGCCGAUAAAUUCGAUGAACUUGCUGAUAGAAUAGCAGAUAAAGCGGUAAAAAAGCUUAAUGACUUCCAGAAAACGAUUGUUACUGAAAAAUUAGCUUUCGAUGAUGGAUUCUAUCGUAGUCAUACGAAACCUGAUCUAAAACAGAGACUAACAAAUGAACAUAAUCAUAAGCAUGGUAAAAUUGAUGUCGAUGCCGUUUUAAAGAAAGCAAUCUUGCCCAUAGGUGGGUUAAAAUUGAGAUAUAAAUAUUUAAAUAACAAACAUGCCAAAGCCAGUUCCGAGAAAGACAACGACGUAUCUGUAAAUAUUGACCAUGACGAAGACAUUGAAAUAGAUCAAAAUAUGAAAACAAUUAGUGAUGAAAACUUUAACAAUCCAUUUGGUACAGGACAAACCGUUUCUUGGGAUGAAACAUCUCCUAAGCAUCCACCUCCUAGAGACGAACACUUUAAGAAUCCAUUUGGUACAGGACAAAGUGUUUCUUGGGAUGAAACAUCUCCUAAGCAUCCACCAUCUAGAGACGAACAAUUAGAUGAAUCGUUUAGAAGUGACACCAAUGAAGGGCUUAGUAAUGAAAGUAAAUCAGGAGAAAAGGACGAAAACUUAACCAGAACAACAAGGACAGAAGGAGACAAACAAUUUGUUUUAGAAGAUCACCCAGAUUAUAAAGAAUAUAAUGAACAGCUGGCUAAUAUUGAAAAUCGUCAAGAUUUUGGCUCUGGAAAAUAUUUUUUUUAGCAAAUCAUGCUUAGAAUCAAAUUGUAAACACAUCAGUUAAUAAAUUGGCUCAUGAAUCCAUGAUAGAGUUAGACCAAGAUAACUCUGCAACGAUUUUGUUAG